UGGGGAAUAUUGCACAAUGGGCGCAAGCCUGAUGCAGCCAUGCCGCGUGUAUGAAGAAGGCCUUCGGGUUGUAAAGUACUUUCAGCGGGGAGGAAGGGAGUAAAGUUAAUACCUUUGCUCAUUGACGUUACCCGCAGAAGAAGCACCGGCUAACUCCGUGCCAGCAGCCGCGGUAAUACGGAGGGUGCAAGCGUUAAUCGGAAUUACUGGGCGUAAAGCGCACGCAGGCGGUUUGUUAAGUCAGAUGUGAAAUCCUCGAGCUCAACCUGGGAACUGCAUCUGAUACUGGCAAGCUUGAGUCUCGUAGAGGGGGGUAGAAUUCCAGGUGUAGCGGUGAAAUGCGUAGAGAUCUGGAGGAAUACCGGUGGCGAAGGCGGCCCCCUGGACGAAGACUGACGCUCAGGUGCGAAAGCGUGGGGAGCAAACAGG
rnacentral:rRNA from 1 species